rnacentral:lncRNA from 1 species
CACACAUCUCACUCCACACAUCACCUCACUCCACGCAUCUCACUCCACACAUCUCACUCCACACAUCUCACUCCACACAUCACCUCACUCCACGCAUCUCACUCCACACAUCAUACUCCACACAUCUCACUCCACACAUCACCUCACUCCACGCAUCUCACUCCACACAUCUCCUCACUCCACGCAUCUCACUCCACACAUCUCACUCCACACAUCUCACUCCACACAUCUCCUCAUUCCACACAUCUCACUCCACACAUCACCUCACUCCACGCAUCUCACUCCACACAUCUCCUCACUCCACACAUCUCACUCCACACAUCUCCUCACUCCACACAUCUCACUCCACACAUCUCCUCACUCCACACAUCUCCUCACUCCACAGAAAUCCUCACUGUACGCAUCUCCUUAUCCCACGCCUCCCCUCGUCCCACGUCCCGUGGUCACACUCAUGUCCUCACUGCACACCUCCUGCUGCCUUCUGCAAGGUUCGACUGCUGACUUUGCUUCCCACAGCAUUUCCACUGCUUGACACAGGUGAAUGGCUCCGACCCCAUUUCUGACAGAGGGACACAAGCAGGUCAGUUGUCAGCCUUGCUCUAUGUGAAUUCAUCGUUGACUGAUGGACAGUUUUAUUCUCU